rnacentral:rRNA from 1 species
UACAGAGGGUGCAAGCGUUGUUCGGAAUCAUUGGGCGUAAAGGGCGUGUAGGCGGUUUGCUAAGUCAUGUGUGAAAGCCCUCGGCUUAACCGAGGAACGACGCAUGAAACUGGCAAGCUAGAGUACCAAAGAGGGGGGUGGAAUUCCCGGUGUAGCGGUGAAAUGCGCAGAUAUCAGGAGGAAUACCCAUAGCGAAGGCAGCUCGCUGGGACGUUACUGACGCUGAGGCGCGAAAGCGUGGGGAGCGAACAGG